GCGCAAGAGCAGCUGCUUUUGCGCAAGAGCAGCUGCUUUUGCGCAAGAGCAGCUGCUUUUGCGCAAGAGCAGCUGCUUUUGCGCAAGAGCAGCUGCUUUUGCGCAAGAGCAGCUGCUUUUGCGCAAGAGCAUCCAUG
rfam:Pelodiscus sinensis unplaced genomic scaffold scaffold516, whole genome shotgun sequence.